rnacentral:rRNA from 1 species
GGAUUGUAAACCUCUGUCUUCAGGGACGAAAAAGAUGACGGUACCUGAAGAGGAAGCCACGGCUAACUACGUGCCAGCAGCCGCGGUAAUACGUAGGUGGCGAGCGUUGUCCGGAAUUACUGGGUGUAAAGGGAGCGUAGGCGGGUACGCAAGUUGAAUGUGAAAACUAACGGCUCAACCGAUAGUUGCGUUCAAAACUGCGGAUCUUGAGUGAAGUAGAGGCAGGCGGAAUUCCUAGUGUAGCGGUAAAAUGCGUAGAUAUUAGGAGGAACACCAGUGGCGAAGGCGGCCUGCUGGGCUUUAACUGACGCUGAGGCUCGAAAGUGUGGGGAGCAAACAGGAUUAGAUACCCUGGUAGUCCACACCGUAAACGAUGAUUACUAGGCGUGGGGGGACUGACCCCCUCCGUGCCGGAGUUAACACAAUAAGUAAUCCACCUGGGGAGUA